ACAAGUACCUUCUAUUAUCUGUUACCUAGUACCUCUGUUUUUUAUUCUUUAUACAAGAUAGAAAGCAAAGGAGAAUGCUUUUGAAUAUAUUCAUGUGAAAUUCUUUUGGACACCAACCAAAUACUCACCUUCAUAUAACAAUGAAAUUAAUUGUAGCAUGGUCUUAGUAAGCACAUUUUGUGAAAUGCAAGGAGUAAAUCAUUAUAGAAAAGAAAUGAUGGUUGCUAUAAGACUAGUGUAUAUAAAGUUCCAGUUAAUGGUUUUUGAAUAAGUUUGGCCAACGAUUGUAUUCAACAUUUUAAAAAUUUGCAUAUUAUGAAUUAGCAAAUAGUUUGUCUAAAAAGUCCUGGCAUUUAUUAUUUUUAUUUUCUUCUGUUACAUAAGUAAUAAGGUUUAUUGUUAAACUUGGAGAAUACAAGAAAGUAUAGCAAGUAAAAGAAAAAUCAUUCAUAUUCCUACCACUCAGAGGUAACUACUGUUAACGUUGUGGAGCCAAUUUCCUCCCAGUCUUGGAAACCAUGUUUUAUCAGCAGGGUGUUUUUCUUUCCUUUUUAACUCUCUCCUCUCUUUUUUUCCCCAUGAGUUGAACAUCCAUAUCAUUACAUUUCCUACCAAAACGUUAUUUUUAAAGUCUGCAAGACGUCAUCAAAGGGAUGAACUACAAGAUAAUCUUUCAUUAUUAUAUUGUUAGGAUUUAGUCAAUCCUAAUCAAGAGUCGAGACAGAAACCUCUCUACCUGUGAUAGGCAGAAAAACAUUUAACACCAGGAACUAGGCUCUUAUAAAAUUGUAGAAGGUGGAUCUGGGCUGGGUCCUAGGAAUGACUCCUAGAACACCACCACAGAACUGACGCCUGUGGGGACUCAGGAGACCCCUGCUGGGAUUGCUGACUUCAGGAACACACUGCCAUUGUAGUGAUCCAAGAAGCAGGACCAUUGCCACCACAGCCACAGCUGCCCAUGUUACUCCUCAAAUGAGUGAUGGACACGGGAGCGCUUCUUCAGGAGAAGCCAGUGUUUCCACUACCAUGUUUGCCAACAGAAAACAAAAAGAAACCCCUGGGUCAACAGGAAGCCGUACUCUGCUUUACUUCUACUCUCUGCGUAUCAUGCGAGUGAGUCUAGUUGGGAGAACCUAAUUUGCAUACGGAUCCUGGAGAAGAACCCAGAGCGGGUGGAGGAAAUGCCUUCCUCCCCGACAGUUUGGCGACUUGGAUGGGAUAAAAUUUUACUGGCUUGACACUGCUCACUCCUGGACUGCUGCAGCCGAGAGGUCCUGGACCCCUGACAAGAGCCAGCAAGAGACAUUUAGGCACCUCUCACCAAGACUCACUCAGGAGAAAAGAGUCAUUCUGAUCCCUCUCCGCACCUCCAGGCACCUACACAGAUCAGGGAAGCUGAGACUCACCCUCUGUGGGAAGAACUCGUCCUUGCUGUCCCAGUGCUCCUGUCACCCUCUUCUGAAUACCAAGUUAGGCAUAAUUAGCUGGCAGUUGCCAGCAAGAUCCUAGCAAUUAUCAGACAGGCUGCUACCUUCUCACUCUGUAAUAGGCACACUGUGGUUAUCCAUUAAGCAAAGAGGGUUCUUGAAUCUCAAAAGAAUCGCUUCUUCCUGAAUUGAGACUCAGGUAGGUCUGUUUGUUUAGUUGAGGUUCUGAUCUAUCAUUGUGGACUAAAAGACUACUUUAGUGGGUGGGAGGUAGAAAAAGUGCAAGUGUACAACCAGGACUGCUGAAG
ensembl:lncRNA